rnacentral:lncRNA from 1 species
AUGCCAGAGGCUCUAUUUCCUAGCAUUUUACAGCUCCUAUAACUGUAGAAUGGUUGUAGGUCACAGGUAUAACCAAUGAAAACACAACCUAAGAUACAAAUCAGGAGCUACUGAUGCAAAGAAUGGGGACCAGGAGGAAGAGUUUCUUCGAGACCUGGUGGUUGAAGAGCAGUGGAUCAUUCUUGGCUGUGGUGGGAGAGGUGCUGAACGUUGUUCACGCUGGCUAUGUCAUGAGUGGAAUCUAUGGCGUCAAGGCUAGAGCUGGAGGGAAUGGGCUCCCCAUUGAGGUGAUGGACUUCAUCCCUGGUGCUAUUCAAGCAGUGGCUGUGGGCUUCCAGUCAGGGAUGCAGUGAAUGAGCCUCUUAUACCAGGUGCUUCCAAGACCAAGAUAACCAGGCAAUCAUAGUAGAUGCAUCAAUGCACCCUUGCCCAAGGGCCUAGACAAGAGGAGGAAGGAAAGGAGGAGCACGUGCACAAAGCUAAGGAGGUGAUUAACAACAUGAUACAGUAUUGUUUAGCUUCGCAUGAAUUUUAUCACCUUGCCUAGAACCAGCCACCAUCUGCCAGGGCUCCUGACUUUUUCUGAAAUGAAUAGACACUAAAGCCUGCUGGGGAAUUUCAUGGAAAUCAAGAUGACUCAACCCAGAGUCCAUUUCAAGGCUAGGAUGCUAGAGGACGCCAACAAAGGAGUAGGGAAGUGAAACGGAUCAGCUCACAUCCAAGCCCUUGCAUGAUCAAUCCUGCAGUAGGAGUGCUGCUCAGUUGGGACUCAUGAGAGCCCGGAAGAGGAAAAAGCAGCUCUAAGCAUAGCAAAGAAGCUGUUAUGGAAAAGACCCAAAUGUUAAAAUGGUGGACAUAGUAAAGUGAUUGGUUCUGCUUAGGGGAAUCUAGAUCCCCACAUUUUGACCUCCACUGGAGUCUCAGAAGAACAAGUGCCAGGGGGGCUUGCCACAGAGGCCAAGGCAGUGAAUGUCAGGCACAUCACAGUCCCCAAGAUGGGGAGAAGACUGAGAUGCAGGGUAACAACUGCAAUCCAUUCAUGGGAGCCAUGUUUAUCUUAAAUCAUUGACAGUGAGAUAAGGAUCAUGUCAGCCUUCAUACCUUUGAUGAUGAUCCCAGGCUGCAACAGUGACACAUAGAACUGGAUUCAGUAACUAACUACAGAUUCCAUCAACCAGGACUAGUAAAGUGAAAGGCAGAAAUUGGGAGGAGGGGUUUCUUUCUUGCUUAUAAAACUUUAUUUGGUUGUGUUGAGUAUGUGCAUGUAUGUAUGAAAUCCCAUAAAGCAGUCUUCUUAGGAACAAGCCAACAUGCCACAAUGUAGGAGAUCUUUGGAGCACUGGCCUAAAUGGCAGAGAGCUCAAGGGACUCUGCUUUGUACAAGGCAUGAUUUGUACCACCACCACUAUCCCUGUUUCAGAGCACUGUUGAAUUGUUCCAAACCUGGAUUUCUAUGUCAGCUCCCUGUCUAUAGUACUUGACUGAUAAAUGCUAGUUUCUGAAAUCUGCUUUGGUUCUAUAAUUUAUUAGACAGCUUUUUCUUCCCAUUUUAUUACUUGUUUUUACUGUCAUUGGUAUAUUAUCUCUUACAGUGAAAACAUUCAUAGGCUGAUUGAAGAGAAGAUCUGAAAUUAUUAGGCAGCAAGCAUACAAAACCCUUGCUUUAUAAAGAUAAUAUCUUAAAGGCCUAAUGUCUAUGGUUCAAAGCAGCCUGGAGAUGUUGGCUAAAUCUUCCAUCAUAGAGUCCUCAUGGGAUCUGGAAGCUCUGAUUUAUCUUCCU